rnacentral:piRNA from 1 species
UACCUUUUUUUUGCGUGACCG